AGUGAACGCUGGCGGUAGGCCUAACACAUGCCAGUCGAACGGCAGCACAGUAAGAGCUUGCUCUUACGGGUGGCGAGUGGCGGACGGGUGAGGAAUACAUCGGACUCUACUUUUUCGUGGGGGAUAACGUAGGGAAACUUACGCUAAUACCGCAUACGACCUACGGGUGAAAGCAGGGGAUCUUCGGACCUUGCGCGAUUGAAUGAGCCGAUGUCGGAUUAGUUAGUUGGCGGGGUAAAGGCCCACCAAGGCGACGAUCCGUAGCUGGUCUGAGAGGAUGAUCGGCCACACGGGAGCGGAGACACGCUCCAGACUCCUACGGGAGGCAGCAGUGGGGAAUAUUGGACAAUGGGCGCAAGCCUGAUCCAGCCAUACCGCGUGGGUGAAGAAGGCCUUCGGGUUGUAAAGCCCUUUUGUUGGGAAAGAAAAGCAGCAGGUUAAUACCCCGCUGUUCUGACGGUACCCAAAGAAGAAGCACCGGCUAACUUCGUG
rnacentral:rRNA from 1 species